rnacentral:rRNA from 1 species
AGUGAACGCUGGCGGUAGGCCUAACACAUGCAAGUCGAACGGCAGCACAGUAUGAGCUUGCUCUUACGGGUGGCGAGUGGCGGACGGGUGAGGAAUACAUCGGAAUCUACUUUUUCGUGGGGGAUAACGUAGGGAAACUUACGCUAAUACCGCAUACGACCUACGGGUGAAAGCAGGGGAUCUUCGGACCUUGCGCGAUUGAAUGAGCCGAUGUCGGAUUCGCUAGUUGGCGGGGUAAAGGCCCAACAAGGCGACGAUCCGUAGCUGGUCUGAGAGGAUGAUCAGCCACACUGGAACUGAGACACGGGCCAGACUCCGACGGGAGGCAGCAGUGGGGAAUAGUGGACAAUGGGCGCGAGCCUGAUCCAGCCAUACCGCGUGGGUGAAGAAGGCCUUCGGGUUGUAAAGCCCUUUUGUUGGGAAAGAAAAGCAGCAGGUUAAUACCCCGCUGUUCUGACGGUACCCAAAGAAUAAGCACCGGCUAACUUCGUG